rnacentral:sRNA from 1 species
UUGUUUCUUCUUCUUCUUCUCAACA